CUAGUGGCUUGGCCAGCCUGGGAAAUGAGACACCCAAAGCAGAGCUCAUGAGUGUGAGACGCUGGGUGCUGACAGCCACCAGCCUUUAGACACUUGGUUUGCUCUCGUCAUCUCUCCCAUGCUGUAGAUGCUAUCGCACCAGCCCUUCUAAUGGAACAGUGGCUGCUCGGCCCAGAUAACGCUCACACAGGAGGUCGGGGAGCCUGGUGGGGGAAGAUACCAAGGAAAUGUUUCUGCCUCAGCUCUAGAUACAAGACUGAAUGCACGCGGGGACUGGGUUAGUCGUGCUCCUAGAGAAUCUUCCACCGGGGCAGCUCAGAGUAUUUCAGACAAUGGGCUCCAACCUCCGUCCCCUUGUGAAGCCACUUACCCCAGCUCAAAGCAAGCUCAGAACCUGUUCUCAGCUGGUAGCAUGUUGCACCCCUUUAGCAAUGGGAUAAGUGACUGCAGGAGGGGCCUGACUCCAUUGUCCUGCCCAGUGAGUCCAGCCUCACAGCCCCCUCUGGGACCUGGGCGGUGUAUUAAAGUGCUUUGAGAACCUCAGAGGAGUCACGCUACAGAGGCACGAAAUGCUAUUUCUACUGGAACGCCUCCCCAAAGCGGAGUUGUUUUGAUUCAUUUAACUUGUGCCUCCCUCUGCUUCCUCGGGGCUGUGAAGUUACUCAAUCAGAGCAGAACGCAAUAAAUCCCGCUCAUUACAAGGACUUUUCAGAUCAGAAAGUUUCCUGAAACCCAACACAACUCCUCCAUGCUCACCCACCCCGACAUUCGUUAUCAAGCUCUUCCCAGAAUUCAGUUGACAGUAACCGGUACAGUAACUCUAAGUAGUAAAUGAAUAAUUCAAUAUUGACAUCCGGGGAAAUAAACCCUGUUCUUUACUCUC